rnacentral:rRNA from 1 species
ACGCUCGACACCUACGGGAGCCAGCAGUGGGGAAUAUUGCACAAUGGAGGAAACUCUGAUGCAGCGACGCCGCGUGGAGGAAGAAGGUCUUCGGAUUGUAAACUCCUGUUGUUGAGGACGAUAAUGACGGUACUCAACAAGGAAGUGACGGCUAACUACGUGCCAACAGCCGCGGUAAUCUGAGCGGGCUGGCAAGGC